rnacentral:lncRNA from 1 species
UGUUUAACUUGUCAUAAAUUAUGUUACUGGCGUUCUACCCACUGACAAGAACAGUGGAAGCGAUUCUGCAUCAUAUAACCCUUCAACAUGGGAAGGCCAGCUCUCCAACUAUCGAUGUUGUUCAAACACACCCAGGACUGAAUGCACCGUGGUUUCUGGUUUCCUGGUACGUCUACCAUUGUAAGAAUCCCCUGCAAUUCAGAUUGGCAUUUUCAAUACUUGGCUGUCUUCAGUAACAGCCGAGAGAGUUGAUUGAUCACUCUCAUUACUCAAUUAUUGUAACCUAAACGUGUCCUCUUCCCUCUGCCAUUCACAGAUGGAAUAAAACCUCAGGCAUAAGCCUUGAGCACGACGAACCCACAGGCACCCAACUGCUGGUGGAAACUGAAGGGGUCCUCAUCCUGCCUGCCCUCUGAGUUCUCAGAAAAGAGAAACACAGGAGAUCCUCGUUCUUUCCUUAUGCUCUUGUUAUCAGUGAAGAAACUUCAAGCCGCCCGGUGCAGAAAACCUAGCCAAUGGACAGAGGGUCGAAUCGGUGAGUGCACACCCAGCUGGUCUCCUGCCCAAAUCCAUCUUGAUAAAUGUUUGGUGAUGAUUUAUCCUUCCUUUUGAAGAGUCAGUUUGUAUUCCUGGUUUGGACUUUUGCGAGAUAAAGGAUGGUUGAUCUCUCAGCCUAAGAGUCAACGAACAGAGAAGUCCUGUUUGAUCUUUUGACCUUUUGCUUUGUUGUCCAAGAUGAAACUGUGUGGACAGCAAGACUGGUUCAUGGGCUCGAAACUGGUACCAUCACUCCAGGCUUCAGGCUCAGAAGGACCCUGUGCUUGACUACAGGCUCUGCUGUCACGGUCUCAAAAUCUUAAUUUUAUCUCAGAACAGAUGUUUUAUAAGUGGCAUCCAGUGAGACGGUGGAGAAUAUGUGCGAGCAGAAAAGACACACGCAACAGGUCUUCUCCACCGCUUGUAGCCUCCUUCAUGUGUCACACUUGUGACCCAUGGUGUACAAAAUUCAGAGACAAGGAGAGCACAAGGUAAGCAUGUUAUGCAGCUAGAAUGUGCAGGUAUCAAGAAGUGAAACGAAAACAUUGGAGCUCGUUUGGUGCCUCACUUCCACUUUUGUGAUAGAAAUAAACCACAUAUGCAUGUAUGAGCAGUGAAAUAUUUGUUAGGUAGUUUGAUUCAUACUAGUUAAAUGCUUUUAUAUCUGCAAUGAAAAUGAGCAUUGCACAAUAUAAAAAUGAAUGCUAAAAUUCAUGCUAAGAGUUUAAGCUUUUAAGUUUUCCUUACCUAGAAUGAUAUUAAAUAGCAAAUACCAUGACAGGUUGAGAGAGAGCCUAGAAAAGGAAGGAAAAGUCUCUAUAUUUUAGUGCCUUUAAUGACACUUCUACUUUUUGAGCAAGAGACCCUGUAUUUUUUUUUUUUUGUAGUGAUUUUGAUUUUUUCCAUUAGAGCUGGUUUACAGUGUUCUGUCAGUUUUCUACUGUACAGCACGGUGACCCAGUUACACAUACGUGUAUACUUUCUUUCUUCUCACAUUAUCAUGCUCCUUCAUAAGUGACUAGACAUAGUUACCAGGGCUACGCAGCAGGAUCUCAUUGCUUAUCCAUUUAUUUUUAUUUUGAACUGGGUGUGCAAAUCAUGUAGCGGGCCCUAGUGGGCAGCUUCCAUGUGCCUGAGAGCCAGGGGAUUUCUGAGGCAUGUCUUUCUUGAGUUCAUUCCUACAUGUCCUGUUCGCUGCUUAGCCCAGGGAACUUUGGGGUCUUUGGGGAAGCAAGACCAGUUAUCCUCCCACUGCUUUGGAACCACGGGAUCCAUCAUACCUGUUCUUUCAUCCCCUGCACCUCCCUCACCUUGACUGGACUAAAUCACCUUUUCCUGUGUUCCCAGAGUCCUCAGUGAGUUUCAGAGAUCACUUCUUAUUCCAUGUUGCUUUGAUUCCCGCUUUUUCCCGUCCUCACUGGACCACUAAGUAGCUCUUGCAUAAUGAAGAUGAGGAAACUGCAUAACAUCCAGACUCUACGCACAGGGCCUUAAAGACGGCAGCCAAUCACCAACAUCAUUAAACUAAAUUACAUCGCAUCCUCCUAAAGCCCAUCUCUUCCCCCACCUUCACGCACCCCCCCCACACACGUAAUAAAAUCCUUUCUCCCCUAGUCCCUAAUGGCAGAGGAAACUCUUUUCUUCUCUCUUCCUUAUCCUGUUGAACUAACUACAAGAGCAGUGAACCCAAUUCUAUCUAAGAAGCAUGUCCUAGUCACCAACAACAACCACCUUCUUUCCUUGGACUUUUCGGUUUACCAUAUGCCACUUAAUGUCAGAGGGGAAUGGAAGACAUAAGUGACCAUAGAGUUUUACAGACCAGAUCCCUCGGUUGUCUUCUGACGAAUACCUCUAUGCAUCCUGCUUCUCUUAUUAAGACUUGACAGGUGAGCUGCAGCCUGAAAUAAGUCGUUCCUGUCUAUGAGGAGAAGCAGAGGGUAGGCAUUCAAGGCCAAGAGGAAAACAUAAGAAAAGUAUGCACACGAGUGUGUUCUCAUUCACGGUCAAACCAAUCUGUCAACAUAGAGUGAGUGGUGGGCAAAGGGUUAAGUAGCUCAAGAACAUUUUGUAUUGGAUACUGAGCCAGAAUGCUCCAGGCUCCUAUCCCUUUGGAAUUGUGUGAACCUGUCACUCCUAAGCCUCAGCUAGUGAAUCCUGUUCAAUGUGCAUGUGAGUCAAUAGAGAAUUUGGCAUCUCUUUACUUAGGUUCUUGGUCUGAAACUGAACAUAGGCUAUUUAUAGGCGGGGACUGCAUUUCCUUUAUUCUGUGUUUCCUUUGUUCUAGCUGCUUGCCUGAUUGCAGUAAGGAGUAGUAAAGCACUGAUGGCCAGUGGCACUCCUGAUCUCCCAUCGGCCAGGUUUUCACCUUCUCUUAAGAUUCUACUUCUCAGAGGAAGGUAUUUUGGGAAGGAAUCCUUUUUUCCUUAAUAUGUAGGGAACCACUUUGAGGACAGAAGGAUAAUAAGUCUACAUUCUGCUCUUAAGAAAACUCGGUCUCUCAUAGAAUAUUAGUCCAAGGUACCAAUUUAUUUCCCCAAAGGGAGGAUGGGUUUCUUAACACUCAGACAUUGGGAUUCGUGUUGCAAACUAUGUGAAAUUAAUAUUUGAAGCUGUGUGUGUGUGUAGAUGAGAGCUGAUGAGAGAAGAAUGAGCGAAGAUUGGGAUGAGAUAAAGUGACAGUGACUAUUAAUGAGUCAGUGGCUGGAUGUGGCAAUGACUUGAACUGGACACAGGAGCAGAUGCUAUUUUAAGUUAUACCUUCUUUUCUUCCUAACUCUUUGCAGAAGGGUAUGGAUUUUUCUUCACGAAUCUGGACCUUCUUUUUUUCUGGCUCUUGUCUUCCUUUUGCAUAAGUCAUCUCUGGAACCACAGAUACUCAAAAACUUUAUGCAGGAUUUUGCUUCGCCGUGGAUGGUCCGGUCCUUACAAACACAAGGAAGCUCCGUAUUUUAUGAAUCAUCUCUGGUUUUCUUUCUUAGUCCUCUCUGAGGCAGCUUGGGCUGUAGGAGGAAAAACUUCUCAACAGUCUCUGUUCUGUGUACACUCACCAUUCCUAUAAUGGAAUGCCAGCUAUUUUGCCUGAAGCAACCUGACACAUGCAACAAUAUGUGUGUUCUUUGGAAUAUUGAACAGUGGAAGAGUUCUACAGGCCAGGCUUUGUGAUCUCUUGAUCCCAAGCACUUAGAUUCUACCUUCAUCCCUCUCCAUACAUCACCCUCUGCCCCUAGAAAGGGCGUUUCAUUGCACAUUUUGUGGCAAGAUUUAUGACAAUUAUCACCCAAAUCCGUAAUUAGAAAGUGGUAACAGACAGGCAGAUAGAUCCACUUACAGUGACAUCUCUGACAGGGUGACACCCCCACCCCCACCCCACCCCACGCCUUGCAAAAUACCUCUAAGGCUUCUCAUUUUCAGUGGGACCAUGCUCCAACACAGCGCCGGCAAGCCUCGUCUCGUGCUGGGGGAGGGGAGGGGGCUAUAAAAGCAACAUGUUCUCACAAGCAUGGCAGAGCCCAUGCAUAAACCAUUUGGCUUUGCAAUUAAAAACAGGUUUGGCUUCCCUCUGCAUCAGUAAGACAACGUCAAAGCAACAUUCAUCCUGAAAAUUUUCCCUUGUGAAUUCAAAUGAACUGUGAGUCUGGGGUUUCUUUUGUUUGCAUGUGCAUGCCUUGAGAGUGAAUUUUUUGGAAGGGUUUGGUGUGGUUUCUUCCCGGGGUAAUGCAUGGAUAUAUACGUGUUGGAUCCCUGCUACCGGAUUGGUCUUGGUGACACUUUCCAUUCUGUGUCCUUGGCUUCGCCGGGGCUCGCAUUUUGGAUUCAUUCCACCUGGCUUAUUACUACAGGCUAAUUAGCUCUCCGAGUCUGACCCUCUUGCCUUGGGAAAUGAUCACUCAUUCCAAAGAUCUGCCUGAGAAACUGACUCUCACAGACUAGCCCUGAGUUUCAGAGAUACUGGAAGACAUAAACAGGUUCACUGCUAGGAAGUGCUGGCUGCAAUGACGACUGUUUAUAUCUUUAUCCUUUUGUCAUUCUUGUGGGAUGCAUUCAACUCUUAGAUUCUACGCUAUUGGGAAGAAUCACGACUUUGCAGCUGAAAUCCUUCCCUUCGCUAUGCAAGGACGAGCUGUAGGGCUACUAUGAAAGCCAGUCCCAGUUUCAGUGAAAUCACUCAUUUCCUGCCAGGUAGUUUGCUUCCAUUUCCCUUUCUCUCAAGCUUUUCCCCAUUCAGUGGAACGAGAAGAAAUAGCACCCUUAUUUGAAUGUUUACUGUGAAAAGCUAUGUUCCAAAGUUCCGCCACUGAAGAAAUUGAAAAAUAAUGAGACGUAGCUUAUGAACCACCCGUCUAGGACUGUCAGAGCCCCGUCUACGCUGACCUGAAGAGGUCUGAGCCACGGGACAACGGGUUUCCAGCCCUCGGGCCCAGCCACUGUUGGACAAGGAAAGUCCUAUGAAAGGACCAUGAAUUAGGAAGGCCAGUUUUCCGGUAAGAAUGGUGAUAAUCAGUAUUAAUUAAAAGGGAGAGAGGCAAAAGAGAACGAUUCAUCUCACUGCAGUAUCCCCAAUCUAAAACCAUUGUAGGAAGAGGAUUCCACCCCUAUUUAAUUUUAAAAGGUCUCACCCAAUCCCACUUAAGAAAUGUCCAUUUAUGCAUGUUUCUUUGGAUAGAACAAUCUUAUCUCACACUCUAACUCUAAAACUUGUUCCAAAGAAAGUCAUGACUAAAACCCAGAUUGUCUUGUGAUUGCAUCCUUUGAAAGCCGUCGUUUGAUAUUGAUAGAAAUCAUUUUUAUAGUGUGUUAAGUAAAAAUAUUAUUGGCACGAAGUAAAUUAAAUAUGCUAAUAUACAUGAUUGCAUGCAUAGUUGCAUUCAAGAAUGUGUUUCACUUAUUUUUGUCAUAUAUUUUUAUGAAUAUAGAUGCAUGCACACAGUUUUACACCUCUCAAAAAUACGUGUUUUCCUUGCUUGUGAUGUGUGUCCUCAGAGUACAUUUUUUGAAUUACAUGAAAUUUUAUUUUUUUGCUUUGAUAAUGGAAGUCAGUUCCUGAAAUUAACAAGUUAUGAAGCAUAGAUGCUUUCCAUUUUCAUUCACUCUGUGCAUUAGAGAUUUUCCAUUUUUCAGUGAAAAAUGGUGAUCCAGCUACCAUUUGCUGUACUCUGUGUUUUGUAAUCCCACACAUAAAAGGUAAAGCAGAAGGAACCGCCUUAAAUUCAGUCCAACCAAGGCAGAAAUAUAUACAACUCUAAGUGUCACAAAAUAACACUACAAUUUUGUUUGAAAAAAGUCAUACACAUAAAAAUAAAAAUAUAUAUGCAUGAUAAUAAAAAUAAUUGAGCAAAUCUUUAUGUAACUUGAGACGUCCCCUCCAUUUGUCAAAAUAUAGCUUCUUAUUGAGAACAUGUUUUAAUGAGCAAGGAACUGGUACAAAUUAAUUUAAAUAUUGAUUGGAUGGGGAGAAAGUCUGUGCUUUUUAUAAGCUUGUAAAUUUUAUUAGAGAAGCUACUUUAUAUGAGUCUCUGCUUUAUUAAUUCACUGUUAAUAGCUUCAUUUCCUCACGGUUAUGUAUCUGAAGUGUUGUAAAAGAGAGAAAGGAAUAAAGGGGUUAUUAGGUCUUUAAACUCAAGUUUUCAAAUGCCCAAUAAAUGAUGCGAUUAAGCGAUUAGAAAACGUUAUUGAGUUA